GUACGUACACCAGCAUUGACUUGCUAACAAUGCUAUAACUAUUGAUACAUAAUACUGCAUAUGUGUGUCAUUAUAUUUACUAGUUCAAAUGCACUUGUUUAGUUCAGUAGUUCUAGUCAUGUUAAUCAUUUGCUUUCCCUGAUUCCCUUUCCUUCACAUAGACUGCACUGGGAACUUUCAAAACAGAUCGAACUUGUAAAAGGUUUUUAGAAAUGAUAACUACUGAUUAACUUAUUGAAAAGAGAAUUGAUAUUUGGUGAUUUGUUGGUUUUAAUGUAGGCAAGUUGAAAGACUGCUACUCAGAAAACAAGGGAAACAGUAAUCCAAAGACAAGAGGAAAGAGAUGUGACAUAAAAGCAUAUCAAGUUUCUGACAGAAGGUUGAAGUAUCGCAAUGAGCAGCAACAACGGCAGAAAACAAAACGUGGUGCAGCUAUACUCAAUCGUCGAAACCUGGAUGCUUAAUAAUUUUAGUUGGUAUCAUUAUCAUCACAAGUGGUUCUGAUUGAUUUGUUUGCUAGUGUAAUGGCUUGUUUGUCUGUUUAUCAUUGUGUGAUGAGUGCAUGCCUUAAAUAUGUCUUUGUCAA